CACGUUUUCCGCGCCGUAGCUAACGCAUUAAGUGCCCCGCCUGGGGAGUACGGCCGCAAGGCUAAAACUCAAAGGAAUUGACGGGGGCCCGCACAAGCGGCGGAGCAUGCGGAUUAAUUCGAUGCAACGCGAAGAACCUUACCAAGGCUUGACAUGGACCGGACCGCCGCAGAAAUGUGGUUUCCCCUUUGGGGCCGGUUCACAGGUGGUGCAUGGUUGUCGUCAGCUCGUGUCGUGAGAUGUUGGGUUAAGUCCCGCAACGAGCGCAACCCUCGUUCCAUGUUGCCAGCGCGUAAUGGCGGGGACUCAUGGGAGACUGCCGGGG
rnacentral:rRNA from 1 species